rnacentral:rRNA from 1 species
UAGGGAAUCUUCGGCAAUGGACGGAAGUCUGACCGAGCAACGCCGCGUGAGUGAAGAAGGUUUUCGGAUCGUAAAGCUCUGUUGUAAGAGAAGAACGAGUGUGAGAGUGGAAAGUUCACACUGUGACGGUACCUUACCAGAAAGGGACGGCUAACUACGUGCCAGCAGCCGCGGUAAUACGUAGGUCCCGAGCGUUGUCCGGAUUUAUUGGGCGUAAAGCGAGCGCAGGCGGUUAGAUAAGUCUGAAGUUAAAGGCUGUGGCUUAACCAUAGUACGCUUUGGAAACUGUUUAACUUGAGUGCAAGAGGGGAGAGUGGAAUUCCAUGUGUAGCGGUGAAAUGCGUAGAUAUAUGGAGGAACACCAGUGGCGAAAGCGGCUCUCUGGCUUGUAACUGACGCUGAGGCUCGAAAGCGUGGGGAGCAAACAGGAUUAGAUACCCUGGUAGUCCAC